rnacentral:rRNA from 1 species
UACAGAGGUCUCAAGCGUUGUUCGGAUUCAUUGGGCGUAAAGGGUGCGUAGGUGGCGCCAUAAGUCGGGUGUGAAAUCUCGGGGCUUAACUCCGAAACUGCAUUCGAUACUGUGGUGCUUGAGGACUGGAGAGGAGACUGGAAUUCAUGGUGUAGCAGUGAAAUGCGUAGAGAUCAUGAGGAAGACCAGUGGCGAAGGCGAGUCUCUGGGAUGAUGCUGACGCUGAGGCGCGAAAGCCAGGGGAGCAAACGGG